rnacentral:rRNA from 1 species
AUUGAACGCUGGCGGCAGGCCUAACACAUGCAAGUCGAACGAGUGGCGGACGGGUGAGUAAUGUCUGGGAAACUGCCUGAUGGAGGGGGAUAACUCCUGGAACCGGUAGCUAAUACCGCAUACCAUCGGAUGUGCCCAGAUGGGAUUAGCUAGUAGGUGGGGGAAAGGCUCACCUAGGCGACGAACCCUAGCUGGUCUGAGAGGAUGACGAGCAACACAGGAACUGAGACACGGUCCAGACUCAUACGGGAGGCAGCAGUGGGGAAUAUUGCACAAUGGGCGCAAGCCUGAUGCAGCCAUGCCGGGUGUAUGAAGAAGGCCUUCGGGUUGUAAAGUACUUUCAGCGGGGAGGCGUUACCCGCAGAAGAAGCACCGGCUAACUCCGUGCCAGCCGCCGCGGUAAUAC